UGUAGCUCAGCAGUAGAGUGCUCACCUAGCAUGUGGGAGGUCCUGGGUUUAACCCCCAGUA
rnacentral:tRNA from 1 species